GUACUGUUUUACUCUCUCAUCCCCUUCUCUCUUCACCUCGCUAAUCUACUCACCUCCCUCUCUCCUUUAUUCUCUGUUUGCAUUCGUUUUUAAAACCAAAGCGCCCAGUUUUAGUGAUAUGCUGCAACAACACCACGUUUAGUAGCCAAACGUCGAUGACAUGAGUAGCUUAGAGCCGACGCUAUUCGAUGGUAUCUCUAUCUGAACGUUCCAAAACGUUCCAUGUGGCUGAACUCGCCCAAAUAAUGAUUUAUACGCGGAAGUAUAAGUGAAAGUAAAACAUUUUGUUAAAGUUACACGAGCUCACUGAAAUAAGAGGCGAGAAAGAUUUUGGGGUCAAGAUAUCCUUCAUGUUGGGACAUGGCUUGUACAAGGCAAUCUGCUUUAGAGUACAUUAAAAAUGGAAGGAGAUUCCUUGUUGAAAGGCUCCAGAAUCUGUCCCUCAUUGUGGAAAACCUGUUUCAGCGCAAGGUUCUUCACAAGGAGGAAGUCAGUAAAAUUCAGGCAGAAGGUGACCGUUUUGACCAAACCAGAAAAGUACUGGACUGGGUCACGGCCAAAGGAGAAGCUGCAUGCUACGAGUUACUGACGAUUCUAGACAUCACAAGGAAGAGGACCUUAGACAACGCUGACUUACAGCAAUGGAUAAGCUGCUUCCCCUUCAAGGAAGACCCAGAGAUGACAGACUACCUUGUUGGUUCAAAACCCUGUCACAGAUAUCAGUCACAGCUGAAAUGUAAAGCUCGAAAGAUCACACAGGAUACAUGGAAACAAAGCUGUAGUCUCCUACCAGAGAGGUGUAGAAAUGAGGUGACUUUCUCUUACACUCCUCUUGUGUUAGAUACAGACGUGCCUUCAUCUCUCUCUAAAAUCAAAAUGAAGAGCAAAAGAUGCAAGAAAGCUCGCCCUAAAAAGCUAAAGAGCUUCAUCCCCAUGGCCAAACAGGAAACGUCCCCGGCUGACCUGCUUAAAACACCCAAGAGAAGGAUCCUCUUAUUUGGAAAACCUGGAAUUGGAAAGACAGCAGUCGCCCAUCAAAUGUUGAAGCUCUGGGCAGAGGAAGAUCAUAGAGAACUAGAUUACAUGUUUUAUUUUGAUGUGAGAGACAUUUCCCCCAGCACAAAUCCCAUGAGACUUGAGGACCUUCUCUUUAACAUGUACAGUGAGCCAGAAGAAAGUAGAGAAGAAGUGUUACAGGAUAUUAAGAAGAACUCUGAAAACGUUGUCAUCAUUUUUGAUGGAAUCACAGACCUCUCCUUUCAUUCAGUAAUAAAGAAACUUGUAGGCAAGGACCUCCUCCCUGAUGCAAAGAUUGUGAUCACAUGCAGACCAGAGGUUCCAUCAGGAGACUUCCUGACAGACUGGCCCUCGUUCCGAGUGGAGGUGAAAGGGUUUAGUAAUGAGUCCAUCCGGGCUUACUUAACAAAGAUGCUAAGUGCUGAGCCUAACCCUACGCCAAACCAUGACUCCUUGAGCAGUGUGUUAAGCAACCUAGAGUUGUUCAGUCUGUGCCAUGUCCCGAUGUAUGCAUUGAUGGUGGUUGCCUGCGUUUAUUAUUCUACCCCAGAGGCUUCUAAGCAGCCAUGCCCUACAACUAAGAUGUACGUCAACAUCCUCCGUUACUGCAUCCUAAAACACAGUGGCAAACAGAUGAAUGAUCUUGACAAGUGUCUCAUAGAAAACAGAGAAAAAAUCUUGUCUUUAGCAAAAAUUGCAAUGAAACAAUGAACUUGACAGAACUGAGCUGCGAAGUAAGCAGUGUCCAGUUUUCUUUCUUGGGGGCGCUUAUGAUUAUGGUCGAGCCCACAGUAUCGGACACUUACUCUGCAUUUCUCCAUUACACAAUGCAGGAGUUCGUUGGUGCCCUUUGGCUCUUACAGAAUCCAGACAAAAUCAGAGAGUUUCUACAGAAGUGCCAGACUGAAGAAUGGAAACACACAAAACACAUGGUUCCUUUCAUGUGUGGGCUUCUGAAUGAGAGGAAUAUUCGAUUGGUAAAUGGUCUUGUUCCAGCUCAACAGAUCAAGGAGACGUCAGAUUGGUUCUUCAAGGAAGUGGUGAACACAUUUCUUCCACUUCAAACAAACCAAGAUCAUGCAGAAGGUGGUGCUCCUGAGUUUGAGGUAGAUCUUCUGUUUUUAUGUCAGUGCUUGUAUGAAUCUCAGUCUACUGAGGCCUGUUUGCUUCUUCUGGACAAACUGGACUACAAUCUACACCUGGAUGAAGAACAUCUUGAUCCUCACCAGUGCUGUGCAGUCUCCUAUAUGAUCAGUCAGUCUGCAGAGAGAAAGGUUGACUUGGACCUGAACAGCUGCACUGUGUCAGACCAAGGACUAAGGCUGAUACUGGGCUCUCUGAAGAAUGUCCGAUAUCUCAGAUCUGACCCCUCAAUGCUGUGUCAACUCUGGACAACUUUGCUGAGCGGUGAGGCAGACAUUGACUUCACCAGCUUGCUUGGUCUCUGUGGAAAUGAGUUGCGCCUUCCAUUCCUGGGUGAAAGACGAGUGUUUGAGAGAGCAGAAGAAGUGAUGAAGCAGAGCCUGGAGAGGGUUAACCUCUGUCUACACUGGGAUCGGACAACUCUUCUCAGUGAAGCUCUCAGCAAGACCAUUUUAAAGUGUUUAACACAUAUCAACAAACUCAGUUUUAACCCACUACAUAAUCAGAGAGGAUCCCCUGAAAAACUAGAGAAAGAACAGAAAGCAGUCCUACUAAAUUUGUGUCUACAAGCCGCACUUUAUCACAGAGAAACGUUCCAGGGAGCUGUGAACACACUGCUGUCACUCUUCUCUGUGUAUCAAACUGAGAGAUAUGACAUCCUGCUGGAUCUGUACUCACAUGUGAAGGACUAUGAGACUCAAACAGGCAGGAGUGUCCUUCCAUCAUUGAGGCCACUUUAUCAGUCAGCUCCUGCAGUCUGGUCCAUAGACCUCUCAGAGAGAAAAGCCUCCCUCCUCCUAGAAGUGCUGAAACUCGAACCAGAUAAAAAAUCUGUCGAGCUGAAAGGCUGGUCAGACAAAGAGAGUGAAGUGAGGAGUUUCCUUCAGUGUCUGCCCUACAUCUCACAGCUGAGUUUUACUUCACCACAGGAUCAGAGAAGAUCCCCUGAAGAGUGGAGAAAGAGAGAGAAGACAUUCCUACUGAAUCUGUGUCUUCAAGCAGCCCUCCAUGCGAGAGAACACAUACAAACAACUGUAGAGAAAGUGUUUUCAUUGUCUGAAGUUUAUCAUGAUCGGAAAUGGGAUUUCCUGCUGGAUCUGUACUCACAUGUGAAGGACUAUGAGACUGAAACAGGCAGGAGUGUCCUUCCAGCAUUACAGCCAGUUUACCAGUCAGCUCCUGCAGUCUGGUCCAUAGACCUCUCAGAGAGAAAGGCCUCCCUCCUCCUAGAAGUGCUGAAACUCCAACCAGAGAAGAAACCAGUAGAGCUGGAAGGCUUGUCAGAUGAAGAGAGUGAAGUGAGGAGUUUCCUUCAGUGUCUGCCCUACAUCUCACAGCUGAGUUUCUAUCCAUGGUGGUCUGACAACUCAAAGCUGAUCAAGUUCCUGGUGGGUCUCCUGUCUCAAGCAGCAGAGUGGGAGGAGCAGUCAGGAGAGAAGACACUGAAGCUGCUAUCAUCAGUGUUUACUUACAGCACUUUCCCUCUCUAUGACUGGGAUGAUUAUCAUAAGUGGUUUCAAUGUGAUUUCCUGCUGGAUCUGUGCUCACAUGUGAAGGACUAUGAGACUCAAACAGGCAGAAGUGUCCUUCCAGUAUUACAGCCAGUUUACCAGUCAGCUCCUGCGGUCUGGUACAUAGACCUCUCAGAGAGAAAGGCCUCCCUCCUCCUAGACGUGCUGAAACUCCAACCAGAGAAGAAACCAGUAGAGCUGAUGAAGUGGUCAGAUGAAGAGAGUGAAGUGAGGAGUUUCCUUCAGUGUCUGCCCUACAUCUCACAGCUGAGUUUUACUUCACCACAGGAUCAGAGUAGAUCCCAUGAAGAGUGGAGAAAGAGAGAGAAGACAUUCCUACUGAAUCUGUGUCUUCAAGCAGCCCUCCAUGAGAGAGGAACCAUACAAACAACUGUAGAGAAAGUGUUGUCACUGUCUGAAGUUUAUCACGAUCGGAAAUGGGAUCUCCUGCUGGAUCUGUACUCACAUGUGAAGGACUAUGAGACUGAAACAGGCAGGAGUGUCCUUCCAGCAUUACAGCCAGUUUACCAGUCAGCUCCUGCAGUCUGGUCCAUAGACCUCUCAGAGAGAAAGGCCUCCCUCCUCCUGGAAGUGCUGAAACUCCAACCAGAGAAGAAACCAGUAGAGCUGGAAGGCUUGUCAGAUGAAGAGAGUGAAGUGAGGAGUUUCCUUCAGUGUCUGCCUUACAUCUCACAGCUGAGGCUGAAUGUGGGCAUGGCAGUGAGACUGGCCAGACUGGCUAGGAGGACAGGGAGAGGGGGUACUCCACUGACUGUCCCAGAACUCUCCCUGGUCCUAAAGAGCAGCCAGCCACCAGAGAGAGUGUUAUCCAGAGCUCUGAGUAGUGUGGCGUCCCUGCUGAGAUUCUGGAGGGUUCAGUGUCUGGACCUGACUGACUUCUGCAUCCAGGGUCACUCUCUCAUCACACUGCUGUGUCACCAGGACCCUCACACUCUCAGACUGAACUCAGACACUCUGCAGCAGCUGGCUGUGGCUGUGUAUGAAGCUCAGGACAAGGACUUGACUCAGUGGUUCCUGGAGAAGGUUGGUGGAGACCUGACCUCCUGCAGGCUGGACUGGGACGUGCUUCUCUCUCUGCUGCAGCAUUCAACCCACAACAUCACAGUGGACCUCAGGAAGAACAGGCUUCUAGAGAAGAACAUCUCAGAUCUUCUCCCCUUUCUGGGAAGGGUUAUAUUCAAGAGGCUCAGUUCCAGCUUUGUGAAGUCCACCAUCAGACAGAUCUAUGACAGUAGAGACAGUGACUGUGUGUCCAGUUUGUUGAGGUCUUCAGACCAUUGGAUCAACCUGAACAGCAGAGAGCUGGACAGAGUGGACUGUACUGCUCUGUGUUUCACCCUGCAGCACAGCCACCAAGUCAAAGUCAACCUGCUGUGGACCUCCAUACCACCGGGGGAGAUAGAGAGCAUCCUGCCUCUUCUGGACAGAGUCUCCCAACUCAGUGUUGACAGGAAGCUGUUGCUGAGUUUCCUCCACUCCUGCGCUGCCUCUCAGAUCCUACAGGGGGCACUAUCACCACCACCAACAAUAACAACAACAGCAGCAGAGCUGCUCAGGGCUCUGCAGCACAGGUUGGACUUCUCCUGCUCCUCCUCUGUGGACCUGUCAGCUCACGACCAGGGGGAGGCGCUGUGUCUGACCACUGACCACUGUAGGGCCAUAAACUCUGUUCUGAAGCAGAGCCAACACAGCACACGGCUGGUUCAGAACCCGACCCGGAACCAGUCCCGAAACCAGCCCCAGGUGCAACUCAUCCUUAAAGACUGUGAGGUGGAGCAUGGAGCACUGAGAGAGCUGCUUCCCAUCUUGCAUAUUGUCAAGCUGAGCCCCAGCAAAGCUCUGCUACUUCAGCUGCUGGACCAUGUGUGUGAGGGGAUUGAAGAGGGGGUUCUGAAGCACGCAGAGUCCCUGUGCAGAGCCCUGGAUGGGGAGCUGGACCUCAGUAAGACCAGGCUGAACCAGAAGGCCUGUGGAUCUCUGGCCCUGGUUCUGGAACACUCAGAGGGGCUGUCAGAACUGUACCUCAACCACUGCCAACUCACAGACCACCACCUACAGCCCCUGCUCACACACCUGCACAAAGUUGAAGUCCUGGACCUGAGUCACAAUGACAUCACUGAUGCUCUGACCGACAGAAUACUCCAAUUGGUCUCUACCAACACUUCAAUACGCACCGUACGGCUCUUCAACAACAGAAUCAACGACAGAAGUCCGUUCCUGACAGACAAGAGGUUUGAGAUCUGGUGAAGCAGCAUCAGGUCCAAGUCCAGACAGAGGAAGAGAAGAUGGAUGUUGAAGAAGAGAAGAUGGAUGUUGAAGAAGAGAAGAUGGAUGUUGAAGAUGGGUGUAGUAGCUACGAAGCCUCGGCAGGGUGAGACUAGAGGGACUUUUCUGACCAGCAUCCCAUCAACCUUGACCCUAACUGUAACCUGAUUUUAACCAAUUCUUAAAUAUUGAUUUGCAUGUCAGCCACAUCCCCUUAGUUUUUAGCUGACCUCAUCAUGGUGUCAGACGAACGGCAAGUGAUUAUGGGGCUAAGGUAUUGUAAAAAUAGUUGAGACUCCAGAACUCUGGAAUGUUCUGAGUGUAAUGGAUAGGAAUGUGUAGUUCUAUUUACCUCUUACAUGGUUCUUAAACACACAGGAACAUGUGUAGUAUAACGUUUUUUGAGCUUUACUUAACUUGAUGAUUUUUGUGAUCAGUCAAUUUGUGAAAUUCCAUCAGAAGGAAUAGAUUGUAUAUGCAUUUCUAUAGUCUAGUAUUUAUCAGGUGGAUGGGAAUGUGUUCUACAGUUGCAAUGGGAGCCUUAAUACAUGAGUGUUUUGUUGCAGGUCAACUGCAUGGUAUUGUGUUACUCAGGCUAGCCUUGUUGUGGACCAAGCUUCCCUAUUCAGGAAGCCAGAGGUGUGUUGAGUUCGCUUGAACGUUUGCUACGUUGUGCAACGGUUUGUACUGAAUGACACGUUUCCCCAAAAUGUUUUUGAACAGACUUCGAGGUACAUUUGGUGGGUGUGGCGAGGUGUGGCUUGAAGCAAUGAGUGACAUAUUUUUAUUUUUAAAGGGCAGUGGCCAUGCUGACAGCAUUCUCCAACCCACAACCCAACCCUUCCCCAUUUUUCAACUGGUUGUUCAGUACAUCACCGUUUCCGUACAAUUGAACCGUUUCAGAAUGUAAAAACAUACUGAUCGCAGCCCUGGUGAAGUCCAUGGUAGAAAGUAACUACAAGUGUGGUGGAAACCAUUGAAGCCUCGCAACACGUCAAACCAAUCAAUUGCCUUGCUUUGGCCGAGCACUAAAGGUGCCCACUAGUGCCGUAGGAGCAACAGUGUGAGUGGAUGCCCAGGAAGUUGCUGAUGUAUAACAUAGCCUUUAUGUACACAUACCAUAACAAAAUGUAUUUAGUAGAGCAGUUGUAAUACCUUCAUCGACUUGUGAAGAACAUUACACGCAGCUUCCCUUUUAGGGGCAUGUGGGGGAGGUUUCUUGAAAUAUAACAUCCAAUCAAAAUGUAGCCGCUGGAACCUAGCAGACCAUUCUAACUGUUUUGGCUAAUACAAAAUUCUCCAGACCUCCAAAGGAGGCAUGACAACAAUGUGAUUUUGGAGGUAUGGCUACAUGAGACUAGUACAAGCCUUUCUCAUAUCAAAACAGACAAACUAUAAGAAAUAAUAUAUGAAUAUUUUGUGUUUUUAAUAAAUGUACCUUGAGGCCCAUGAUUGGUUUUUGACUGUGGUCUCUUCAGGUUGAAAUCAUUACUAGUAAAUCCUAAAUAAUCUGUUUCAAGUUAAUGCUGGUAUUAAAGCGAUCCCAUCCCACGUGUAUUUAUUUUCAUGAAAGUUUAAGUUGAGAGCUUAGCACUAUGGACCAGCAGAUGGGGUUGCUUCAGAGAGCCUUGACUGGGGUUAGAACCUACAGCCAUGCUUCAGAGAGCCUUGACUGUGGUUAGAACCUACAACCAUGCUUCAGAGAGCCUUGGCUGGGGUUAGAACCUACAACCAUGCUUCAGGGAGCCUUGACUGGGGUUGGAACCUACAACCAUGCUUCAGAGAGCCUUGACUGGGGUUGGAACAUACAACCAUGCUUCAGAGAGCCUUGACUGGG
rnacentral:lncRNA from 1 species